UGCUUUUCUUCUCCUUAUCGCUAAGCCGCUGAGAAAAAGGAAAGGUGAUGAAGACAGAUGUUCAAUUGAGAGAUUAUACUUCAGUUAUGGUUUCAUGCCUCUACUGAAAAUUUGAGAUGAAAGAUGUCACUGCUACCUAUUUUGAACAAUAAGAUACUGGCUCUAUUGGAACCGUUUUGUAUUAAUACAGUGAAUCCACAGUAUCCACUUGGAUUUGGUUCCAGCAUCGGCCGUGGACACCAAAAUCCAUGAAGUCUCAAGACCCAUUAUGUUCAAUAAUGCAGUGAAAUGGCACCCUUUAUAUAAAAAAGAGAAACCACAAGAAAUUGUCCUGAACUGCAAAAAUUUCUUUCCAAUCGGAACAAUCCUUCCACUCAGAAUUCUUGUCAAUUGGGAAAAUCCUUUUUCAUUUGAGAUUUGAACAUAUCAUUGUGAAUUAUUGUUUAAUGUUUGUUUAAUCUCUGGGUUUUUAAAAUCAUAAUAUUGAAUAAAACGUACCUGCUCA
rnacentral:lncRNA from 11 species